AUUGAACGCUGGCGGCAUGCCUUACACAUGCAAGUCGAACGGCAGCACGGGAGCAAUCCUGGUGGCGAGUGGCGAACGGGUGAGUAAAGUAUCGGAACGUGCCCAGUCGUGGGGGAUAACGUAGCGAAAGUUACGCUAGUACCGCAUACGAUCUAUGGAUGAAAGCGGGGGACCGCAAGACCUCGCGCGAUUGGAGCGGCCGAUAUCAGAUUAGGUAGUUGGUGGGGUAAAGGCUCACCAAGCCGACGAUCUGUAGCUGGUCUGAGAGGACGACCAGCCACACUGGGACUGAGACACGGCCCAGACUCCUACGGGAGGCAGCAGUGGGAAUUUUGGACAAUGGGCGAAAGCCUGAUCCAGCCAUGCCGCGUGCAGGAUGAAGGCCUUCGGGUUGUAAACUGCUUCUGUACGGAACGAAAAGGUUUGGGCUAAUAAGCUGAGCUCAUGACGGUACCGUAAGGAUAAGCACCGGCUAACUACGUGCCAGCCGCCGCAGUAA
rnacentral:rRNA from 1 species